GACGAACGCUGGCGGCGUGCCUAAUACAUGCAAGUCGAACGCUGAAGGAGGAGCUUGCUUCUAUGGAUGAGUUGCGAACGGGUGAGUAACGCGUAGGUAACCUGCCUGGUAGCGGGGGGUAACUAUUGGAAACGAUAGCUAAUACCGCAUAAGAGUAGAUGUUGCAUGACAUUUGCUUAAAAGGUGCAAUUGCAUCACUACCAGAUGGACCUGCGUUGUAUUAGCUAGUUGGUGGGGUAACGGCUCACCAAGGCGACGCUACCUAGCCCACCUGUGAGGGGGAUAGGCCCCACUGGGGAUGAGACACGGCCCCGACUCCCCCGGGAGGCAGCGGAAGGGAAUCUUCGGCAAUGGACGGAAGUCUGACCGGGAAACGCCGCGUGAGUGAAGAAGGUUUUCGGAUCGUAAAGCUUUGUUGUAAGGGAAGAAAGAGUGUGAGAGUGGAAAGUUCACACCGUGACGGUAUCUUACCAGAAAGGGACGGCUAACUACGUG
rnacentral:rRNA from 1 species